UACGAAGGGGGCUAGCGUUGCUCGGAAUCACUGGGCGUAAAGGGUGCGUAGGCGGGGCUUUAAGUCAGGGGUGAAAUCCUGGAGCUCAACUCCAGAACUGCCUUUGAUACUGAGGAUCUUGAGUUCGGGAGAGGUGAGUGGAACUGCGAGUGUAGAGGUGAAAUUCGUAGAUAUCCGGAGGAACACCAGUGGCGCAGGCGGCUCUCUGGCCCGAUACUGACGCUGAGGCACGAAAGCCAGGGGAGCAAACGGG
rnacentral:rRNA from 1 species